UAAGUCAGAGGUGAAAGUCUAUAGCUCAACUAUAGAAUUGCCUUUGAUACUGUUUGACUAGAAUGUAGUUGAAGUAGGCGGAAUGUGUAGUGUAGCGGUGAAAUGCUUAGAUAUUACACAGAACACCAAUUGCGAAGGCAGCUUACUAAGCUACUAUUGACGCUCAUCGGACGAAAGCGUGGGGAGCGAACAGGAUUAGAUACCCUCGGUAG
rnacentral:rRNA from 1 species